AUUCAUUUCAAUCCCAACUAUUUAUUCUUACCUUCUUCUCAGGGCCUUCCGAUCUACUGUUUCACCUCUGUUUUUGAAUUCCAAUAUUUCUUUCGCCAAUCGAUCUGCUUCAGAGCAUUCAGCAAUCGAUCGGCUUUAAUCCAGAAUGGCUGCUGAGCCUACAAAAGAACAUAUUGAUGUUGCUGAGACUGAACCUGUGGCAUCAUCUACUGAUAAUGAAGAAAAGACAAAAAAGAAGAAAAAGAAGGGAUUUUUUUCGAUGAUAUGGAAUAGUUUAUUUAGGUCCAAAAAGGAUGAUUUUGAGAAGAGAUUGCAGCAUAUUUCCAAGGAGGAGGCUGCUGUUAUUGCCAGAAUCAAUAAGCGAUCCCAAAAUUGGAGAAGGAUGACAAGGCAUCUCAUUGUACUUUCUGUGAUUUUUGAGGUUAUUGCAGUGGGUUAUGCUAUCAUGACAACACGAUCCCUUGAGCUGAACUGGAAAAUGAGGGCAUUGCGAGUUUUACCAAUGUUUCUGUUGCCUGGCUUAUCCUUCAUUACAUAUUCAGCGAUUGGAAGUUUUACAAGGAUGUGUGAACGUAAGGACCAGAAAACUCUAGAAAAACUACGAGCUGAAAGGCAAGCCAAGAUUGAGGAACUGAAAGAGAAGACAAAUUACUAUAUAACACAACAGCUCAUUCAGAGAUAUGACCCCGACCCAGCAGCUAAGGCAGCUGCAGCCACUGUCCUUGCAUCCAAGCUUGGUACAGAUACUGGCUUGAAAGUGUAUGUGGGAGAUGACACUAAGCAUAAUGUCCCUACCGGGAAGAGCAACGAUGUUGAAGUUGUGCAAUCUAAUGGGCUGAGAAAUAGGAAGCAGGCCAGGUCUAGUAGUCCAGAGAGUGCUGUAAUAGAUCAUCCUGGUGCAGAAAUGCUUCAACAGGCACAGCUUGAAGGUUCUGAUAUGAUGCAGCAUCAGCAAACAGUUGUUGAGCAUUACAAUCCAACAGGUUCCAGCACACAAGAUGGAGGAUGGAUUGCACGAAUUGCAGCAUUGCUUGUGGGAGAGGAUCCAACCCAGUCAUAUGCACUCAUCUGUGGCAAUUGCCAUAUGCACAAUGGGUUAGCCAGGAAAGAGGACUUCCCAUACAUAACCUACUAUUGCCCUCAUUGCCAUGCCCUAAAUAGGCCUAAGCAGCUUGAUGAUCGUGUCUCUGGUACAAGUACCCCUAACCUUGGUUCCACAACUUCUUUGGCUGAUGUUGAUUCGGUCAAACAAGUUGGUGGAUCUACUCCGGAUAAAAUACCCGCAUCAGCAAGUGGCAGUCCUGUAGCAGCUCUAGUGGAAACAGAAGGUGAUAACAUAGUGUCCAGUGCUUCUAACAGCUAGUAGAUGGGGAGUUUUGAAUAGAGUCGUGCAGGCGAGUGCUUUUUCUCCCUAUAUAUGUGUAGCGGGGUUUUAUUUUUUUCUUUUUUCUUGGUAAUGUGUAACUCUCUGUUGUAUACAUAGUAGAAAACAUAUUCAACGAUUCAUACGGUAGCUUCCUUGAAACUUUUCUACAGACGCAAUAUACCUCAAUUUUCUUUUGUUUGAGAAAUAUUAGGCCAUCGGCAGAGCUUUAUGAGAUUUUCUGAUUGCAGAAUUUGCAGUCCCUCUCACGUGUAUUCUCUUCUUGUUUGAGAAAUAUUAGGUCAAGUACAUGAUUGAGUUUGUAUAUUAUCCAAG
rnacentral:misc_RNA from 1 species